UCUUCACCAUAUAACCUACACACAACCUCACAUUUCUAUUAAGAGAGAAUGCAAAAAUGCACACACACACCACUGCCAUAUACAAGUCAUCACUCUCAUAUACUACACCUCACUGAUCCAUUAGACAACACACAUACCAGGCCACCACUGGACCUCACAAGACAAUAUACAAUACGCACAAAGCAAAAGGAGAGAUUGGAAUACCACACCCACAAUUCACUCAGGGGGGACUCCACUUUUAUUUCCCUUUUAUUCUUUUUGGGAUACCACACACAGAUCAUAAUACAAUUCAUACGCAUAGAAUUAGGGGAAAUCAGUGAAAGUGAGAAGAAAGACAGUGAAGAAAUGGGCAAAAAUAGUAGAAACUAGAGAGAGGUCAACGGAGAAGAGAGGUGACAGGUGGGGAUUGACUAUUUUUGGUGAUUCUUCAUCGAAAUAUCAUCUCCGAGCGAACCCAGCAAUAACCAACCAAAUCCGUUAGCUAUUUAGCGAUUCCGGUGAUAACCCGCCGAAAGUAGCUAUAGUUCAAAUCCUAAACAGAAAAUCCCCGUCAACACCGAUUGACCACAACCACCUCGCUCAAAACCACCCCGCCGUAAAACAACCACACGCGCACAGACAAAAAACGCAAGGGAGGAUAAUAGAAGAAAGAAAAGGGUGGUCGCUGUUGGGUUUCGAUGUCGAGUUCGAAGAGGUUUUUCAGUUGAGGUCGUUCGUUGAGGUUCUCGAUUCCGGUUACCGACUCUUCGUCAAUUUCAUAUUUCUCAACUCUGGAUUUGGGUCAUUGCGUGAAUGUCAGAAUCACAUUUUUAUUCUGUUCUGGUUCGUGAAUUGAAAUUGAAAGCCACAUUAAGGUCCAUUUCUUAUCUCAUGCUCCACUAAUAUUUAUGUUUUUGGUACUUUGUGGGUUGAAUUUGUGGUGUUUGAACUUUAUUUUAGUUGAUAUUAAUUGAUUGAUCGAUUGGAUGAAUUAGUUAAUUAAAUGAAUCGGGCUCAAUUUAAGGUGAAUAUUGAUUUUGGGACGGUAUUGAAAAUUGUCUGGUUGGAAAUUUCAUUUGGUUUAUUUAGAUUGUUAAUUUUGAUUCAUUGAUGAUGUUAACAUGAUAGUAUUAUGAUUAGGCCAAAGCGGAUAGGCAAAUUGUAGGUCGGGUAAGCAGACGGUAGGAAUUAUGAUUGUUGAAUGCUUGAAUGAUUUUAUUUUAUCGCAUUGAAAAGAUGUAUUAAUUUAGCCUGGGAAUGCCCCGAAGAUCAUUGUAUUUACUCAUCGGGGAAUUCCCUGAAGGAUUUUGUAUGCGAAAAUGCUUGUGAUCAAGGCCCGAGGCAUCGGGUAGAGCAGAGUUUAGGUUAGCAUAGAUUUAUAUUUUUGCAUUUUUUAUUUUGGGCUGUAUAAUUGGACUGGACAUUAAAUUUUGGAUUGUUUCUUUUGUUUGUUGAUUGAUUAUUUUGCAUGCUUUUUGUGUGUUUUAUACAUUUCAUAGUGCCAAAUUAGCCGAUACGCUCCACCAAGUGAUCGUGGUCAAACCACGGGACCGAGGGGUGCCUAACACCUUCACCUUGGUCAACAGAAUUCCUUAGCUGGAAUCUCUGUUCGGAAACCAGUGUUUUAGAGUCAAAAACAAUUUUGAAAAAGGAUUUCCAAAGGUGAUUUGGCAUACCGGAUUAUGACAAGUGGCGACUCUGAAUAAAAAAUAUAAAUAAUUCUUUUCGAAAUAAAUUUUCAUCUUUUGUCAUUUUAACAAUAAAAACCUUUUCGAACCUUAAAAAUAAAAUCUUUUUAGUUAAAAAAGGGGUGUGACUGCUCUGGCGACUCUGCUGGGGAUCAUUUCAGAAUUCGAGCUUAUAUUUUGGAGUUGUAGCGGCUUAGUUUGGCAUUAUGGGUGUAUAGACAUUGUUUGUGUUGUUUUGUGUUAUUGUUUUGUUUUUCAUUGUUGAAUGCCUGCGUGCUCUUUGUUUACAGUUUUUAUCUAUGUGUUACCACUUUAUAUCUGGCAUCAUGUGCAUAACCCGAGUCAGUUUUUCUACAAUAAGUCCGUAGUGCACAAUGUGUACACGACCUCUAGUUGAGUCACCCUUAUCUUAGAAGAGCGAUUCGUCAGCUGGUAUGGAGUGGGUGGAAAGCUAAAGCAGCCACUAUCGACCAUACGCUCCCUUGAACAACCUUGUUAGUGAACCCCAACGUAGGUAAGCCUUAGGUCAUGCUUAUCUGCAUCAUAUUGAGACCUAGCGGGACCCACUUGGUCCUUUGUAGGAAACUCACCUCUAAGGCAUCCCUACGUACUAAAUGUUGCAUCUUUGAGGGUAACGAGGUCAUUUGACAAACUGAUUUGGGCCAAAGCAUGAGUUAGAAGCAAAAUGUGUAGGCAAGAAAUUGUUGAAAAAAGGGAAGAAAAAAAAAGACAGAAAAAAAAGAGAUUUGAUAUUUUUUAGGGUUAUUUAUGACUUUUUUUUUUCACAAUUUACAAAAAAAAUAUUUUUUUACUUUUUGCACUCAUUUCCCCAAAAAUUAAAAACGUUAAAAAAUUUUCUUUUAUUUCUUUAGUAAGUAUUCACAAUUCGAAAAAUCCAAAAAAAUAUUUUAUUCCUUUUAAUAGGAGCUUUGUACAUUUUUAUAUAAUGAAAAUAUCAAAAAGAUUUUUUCUUUCAUAGUUGUUGGUGUUAGUUUCUAAUUAAAAACCCAAAAAAGAUUUUAUUCGUCUGUCUUUAGUCGUGUCUCUUAAUUCAGAGUUUAGUUUGUCAUUUAAUCCUUACUUGUCCAAUCUGGACGAACUACGCACCCCUGAUUUUCCUCUCCCGGAAGUGAGAUACGUAGGCAGCCUAUUGUGGGUCGGGGAUCUUAUUUGAAAAAAAAAAAAAGAUUUUCUCCACUCUUUAUUAGAGUAGGUGUUUCAUAUACAUCUUUAAAAGAAAACUACAAAAAAGAUUUUUCCUUUAAUAGAUUCAAGUUUCAUUUUCAUAUGAAAUUCAAAAUAAAAAAUUCAAAAAGAUUUUUCUUUGGUAAUCAUAUGUUUAAUUUUGUAUAGGGAGUUUAAACUUGAAAAAUGCAAAAAAAUAUUUCAUCAAUUCUUUUGACAAUUUGUUAUUUCCUUUUCUUUUUAAAGUUUCAAGAAAAAGAAAAAAAAAUUAAUUGGCCAUUUUGGCAAGACUUCACGAACUACGCACACCUGAUUCUCCUCUUUCGGGGUGAGAUACGUAGGCGCCCCUCUUGGGUUCGGUGACCUUUUAAAAAAGAAACAAAAAAAGGUUUUGAAAAAAAAAAUGUUGAAUUUUAACGCAUUUGCUAUCUCUUGUUCAGUUAGUUUAAGGUGGUUGGUUUGUGGCAUUUUGGCUGUUCCUCCAUAUUGCACCAAGUCACAGAGAAAGUUAUGGCCAACAAAGAUAUCGAGUUUGUUGUCACUGAUCAGAUAGGGAGUUCGGGCAAUGAGAAUUUAGGAGCUAAUGAAGAGAUUCGAAAAUUAAGGCAACAAAUGAUAGAAAUGCAUUUCCUGCUGGUAAUCUGGAAUAUCUUUCUAGCUUGCCUCCAGUGUCACAUACACAGUUUCUUAUUUCUUUUGACACACCACAACAUGCAUCAAGACCUGCUUUGGGGCAACACUAUCCAAACACUUCCAAUAUUCAUUUCCUCACUCCUUAACACAAAGCUACCACAUGCUCGGCUCCACCCACUGUUCAUGUUUUUGCAGCACCACCCCUACCCGAAGCUCCUACUUUUGAGGUUUAUCCAUAAGUUUGCCUCCCCACUCUGCGAGAGAGCCUUUAUUGAAUAUUUCUUCUUAUCAAUAUGAUGCUAUUAAGCCCACAUUUAAGUCGACUAAUCCUUAUGGCUAUACUCACCCGCCUGAAUUUCCUCUUAACAUUGAGAAGCCUGUUAUAACAGAAAAACAAAAGAAAAUGACCAGAAAAUUAAGAAGUUUGGAACUGGCUUGAAAGACCUCCAGGGACUUGGGGGUACAAAAGUGUCUCAUAUAAAGAUCUGUCUAUGUUUCUAGGGGUUCAUCUUCCUUUUGAUUUUAAAAUGCCAAAGUUUGAGAAGUAUGAUGGACAUGGCAAUCCUGUUGCACAUUUGAGACAUUAUUGCAACCAACUAAGGGGCACUGGGGGGAAGAAAUAAUUACUCAUGGCAUAUUUUGGUGAGAGUCUUUCAGGCCUAGCUUCAGAAUGGUUUGUUGACCAAGACAUCGACAAGUGGAUUAGUUGGGAUGACCUAGCUAAUGAAUUUGUGUAAUAAUUCCAAUACAAUGUGGAUUUGAUUCCUGAUGAGAAAUACCUAACUAACAUGAAGAAAAAGAGUACUGAGACUUUCAGAGAGUAUGCGAUUAGAUGGCGUGAACAAGCUGCUAGGGUGAAACCGUCAAUGAAAGAAAGUAAGAUAGUGGAGGUAUUUAGUCAAGCGCAGGAUGAAACAUAUUAUCAACACUUGUUACCUGCAUUAGGCAAGCCAUUUAUUAAGGUACUCAAAAUGGGGGAGAUGAUAGAAGAUGGAAUUAAAACCGGCCGCAUUGUGAGUUUUGCAACAUUGAAAGCGACUACUCAAGCAAUUCAAAAAGUUUUGGGAAGUGUCGGAGGGAAGGAGUAUAAGGAAGAUGCAUCUGCCAUUGUAGUUGGACAACAGGACCAUACUAUUAUUACCCACAAGCUCAAACCCAAGUUUAUGCCCAAACUCCACAAAAUCUUUCCCAAAAUCCAUUAUAUUCCAUUCCCCCACCUCCAUAUCAAGUGUAUAAUGCACAACCAUAUGUUCAACCUCCAUCUUACCCACACUGGCGUGUGCCAACUCUGUCGAGUCAUCCUCUAACUCCACAUACAUACCGAAGCCCUUCUAGGCCUGGUUUUCAAUUUAAGCCAAACGAUGAAAUAUAAUUUCGAUAGUCAAUUAAUUUUUUUAUGUUGACAUAUUAUUUUAUGUCUCUUUUACCUUUUUUUUUAUGAAAUAUUAUCAUUUUUUCAAUGCUUAGACGAUCAUAAUAAUUAAUUAGUGGUGAUAUAGUAAAACCACGGUAAAAGCAGUGAAACACACAUGUCUUAAGUGACUUGUAAUAACUAAUUAGAAGCGACAUAGCAAAAUUAUUAUAAAAAAUAUUUGUAUAAUAAUUAAUUAACGAUAGUACACUAAAAUUACGAUUGAAACAAUUGAAACAAUCAUAAAUGUCUAUUUUAUUUUUUUUCUAAUUAAAUAUUAUUAAUUUUUUAAUAUGUAAAUAACUUAUAAAAUCUAAUUUGGAAUACAAUAAUUAAUUAGGGAUGGUAUAGUAAAAUUACAUUGAAGAAGCUGAAGCAGACAUAUCAUAAAUGUCUAUUUUAAUUUUUUAUUAAAUAUUAUUAAUUUUCUAAUACAUAAAUAAUUUAUAAUAAUUAAUUAGGGGUGAUAUAAUAAAAUUGCAGUUCAAUUAGCUGAAGCAGACAUGUCAACCUCGUGCUUGCUUUGUUGAUACAGUAAAAUUAUGAUUGAAGCAGCUGAACCAGUCAUAAAUGUCUAUUUUACCUUUUUAUCUAAUUAAAUAUUAUUAAAUUUUGAAUACAUAGAUAACUUAUAAUAUUUAAUUAGGGAUACAAUAAUUAAUUAGGGGUGAUAUAGUAAAAUUACGGUUGAAGCUCAGAAGCAGACAUGUCAUAAAUGUCUAUUUUAAAUUUUUUAUUAAAUAUUAUUAAUUUUCUAAUAUAUAAAUAACUUAUAAUAAUUAAUUAGGGAUGAUAUAGUAAAAUUAUAGUUGAAGCAGCUGAAACAGGCAUGUCGACCUCCUGCCUACUUAUCUCGCUCUUAUAAUAUAAGAGAACUAGAUACCGAGGGCCCGUGCAAUAUAAAUUAUUAUUUUGCUUCAAUUUAUGUGACACGAAUAAAAUUUAGAUAAUUAAUUACAUUUUUAAUAUGUUUUUAGAUAUUUUAAGUUGUUAACUAUUGUAAUUUUUAGUACUUUUUUUACGUAAUUUUCAAAAAAUAUAUGCUACUCUCCUUGUGCAAUCUUUUGUGGCAUUGAUAGUCAAUUAUAUUUUAAAAAUAAUUUAAUUUUUAAAUUAUUGUGAUUUAUAAUAAUUUUUCGUCCAUUCUACUAAUUAGAAGUGACAUACUAAAAUUAUCAUUUUAUAUCUAUUUUUUACUAUGUAUUAUUAAUCUUUUAAAUACUUGGAUGACUUAUAAUAAUUAAUUAUGGGUGAUAUAGUAAAAUCACGAUUGAAACAGUUAAAACAAACAUGCUAAAAAUAUUUAUUUUACUUGUUGUAUUAAAUAUUAUUAAUUUUCUAAUAUGUAGAUGAUUUAUAAUAAUUGGUUAGCGGCGAUACAGUAAAAUUACUAUUGAAGUAGCUGAAACAGGCAUGUUGAUCUGCUACCUGCUUCAGCUGAUGAACUGCCUUUAUCAAAAUUACUUUAAAGAACUAUCUGUGAAAAAAUUUAAGAAGGUCUCAUAUAAGUCGUCAAGUUAAUUUAAAACAUCAAGAGUUAAUUUUUAGUUUGUGUCUAUUUUACCUUUCUAUUAAAUAUUAUUAAUUUUUUAAUGCUUAGAUGAUUUAUAAUAAUUAAUUAAGGGUGAUAUAGUAAAAUUAUGGUUAAAGCAGCUGAAGCAAACAUGUCAUAAAUAUCUAUUUUAUUUUUUCUAAUUAAAUAUUAUUAAUUUUUUACUAUGUAAAUGGCUUAUAAUAUUUAUUCAUGAAUAUAAUAUUAAUUAGGUGUGCUAUAGUAAAAUUACGAUUGAAGCAGCUGAAACAAACACGUCAUAAAUAUUUAUUUUAUUUUUAUUAAAUAUUAUUAAUAUUCUAAUACAUAAACAACUUAUAAUAAUUAAUUAUGGGUGAUAUCGUAAAUUUACAAUUGAAGCAGCUGAAGCAGGCAUGUCGACCUUUUGCCUGCUUCAACUGCUAAACGACCUUUUAUAAAUAAGAGAAAAGAUAAGAGAUUUUACUUAUUUGUAUUAAAUAUUAUUAAUUUUUUAAUACGUAAAUAACUUAUAAUAAUUAAUUAGGGGUGAUGCAAUAAAAAUACGAUUUAAGUAGCUGAAGCAGGCAUGUCGACCUGCUGCCAGCUUCACUGCUUCUUAUAAAUAAGAGAAUAUAUUUUGGCACUAUAUAUACAUUUCUUAUCCUUUUUCUUUUGGGUAUCCAUCAGUGGCGGAGCUAGAAUUUUCACCAAAGGGGUUCACAAGUGAACAUACGAACUAAUCGAAGGGGGUUCGACAUUUACUAUAUAUACAUAAAAAAUAAUUUUAAUCAUAUUUAUUUAAUAUAAUUUUUCAUCAAAGGGGGUUCGGAUGAACCCCUAAAUUAAGCAUAGCUCCGCCCCUUGUAUCCAUCUUUCACUGUUUUGUACUGCUCUUUCGUGCAUUUUUUAUCAUCAAUAAACAUAUUUGCUGACAAAGAUAUGUGUGAUUUGAUUUUCUAGUAGUCUUAUUUAGUAAAAUUUUUUUUUUCGUAUUUUGUAUUAAUUUUUUGAUCUCACCUAUGAGAUUAUACUAAAUUUAUUUUUAUUUUUAUCAUAUAACAAUUUAACUUCUAAGUAGGAGCACAACAUGUGCGAUAUUAACUUACUUUUUUACGGUUAUUAUUCAUAAUGUAUUAAUUUUUGUGUUGAAAUGAAGACAAAAAAUGUCAAUGAAGCAUUGAGGAGAAGAACAAAGGGACCACUUGACAUGAAUAUAUUUUUUGAAAUAUAUUUUUCUGUUUUCUCUAAAUAGUUUAAAUUUCUACACUAUUUGUUUACUUUUCUUUGUCGCUAUACUAUAAAUAAAUUAAGAGAUAGUUUAUAAUUUAUUUUUAAAUUUAUCUUUAUUGUUAAUUUUAAUUAUUUUCAAAAUAUUAAAUUCAUUGUAUUCAAAGGACAAUAAAAAUAUAUAAUAAAAUUAUCAUUCAAUUUAUUGCUUCUUAGAAGAUAUGUCAAGUCAAUAUUAGACAAACAAAAAUAAAUGGAGAAAGUAUUCUUUAAAUUUGACUUGCGAAAGAAAACAACAUUUGAUGUCGUCUCUUUCACCCCAUGUAAGGUAUCUAAUUUUCUUAUUAUUUGAAUAUUUUGAUGUUUUGAUUUGUUAAUUUGUGAUUUUAGGAACAAGAGAGUUAGGGCUUUGGGUGAAGUCAGUCAAUUAACUCAUUCUCUUAGAUUACAUUUUAGAAAUAUUAAAAAAAUUGUGUGAAGAGUUAGAAAGAAUUAUUUCAUGUACCUAAUAAGAUAGUUAGAAUAGCGCGAAACGCGGACCAUUUCAAUAUUAUUGUUAUAAAUUAAUCUCUAUAAAUGAAUGAUCUUUAGGGAGUAGUUGGUAUUUAGAAACUAAAAAGGCAAAAUAUCUAUUGAUCCUUGUAGUUGUCCGAGUUUGUGACGUGAACAUUUCUACUUAGUCUUUUAUCACCUGAAUUUUAAACUCAACAAAUCAUAAUAUUUUAAACUAAUCUGAUCAUUGACUAAGCCUAGGUGAAAACUUAACGGAUGAAUUGAAAAAAAUGCAUAAUUUUGCGUAGGUUGAACGCAUAUACAUAUAAUUUUUAAUUAAAAAUAACAAAAAUUAAUAAAUAAAUAAAUAGAAUUUCUUUCUUUCUUUGCACCACCCACGGUACUCCCAGUCUCCCACCCCUUUAUUUUCCCCAUUUUUACCACCAACACCAUACCCCUUGCCCUCCAUUUUCCUGCUAUUACCCCUCCAUCACCCACCUGGACAUCUUCCCCCUCACCACUAAAUAUUGAUAGAUAUUUUAAAAAUAAUUAAUUAAGCGUUUUAAAAUUACUUUGUGACAAAAAAAAAUAUGAAAUCCACCUGUCCACUUAGCAAAUUCAUGCCCAAGUAUUUUACUUGAUGACAAAGAAAAUAAAAGAAAAAAAGGUGUGUAUAUUCUGCCCAAAGAAAUACUUUGAUUUUCAUUACUAUUAUCGCUCUACAUUGCUAUUAAUAGCCAAUACCUUUUAUUCUAUUAUCGCUCACAGUUAGAAUCGCUAGACACAUGGGCUUAUUAUAAGUAUGUAUUAGUAUUCUGAUGGGCCCUUUGUUCGGCUAAAGAUUCCAUACAGUCAUUUAGCUAUUUGAAAAUUCUUUUAUAUUUUGGUUGGUGCUUUGGUUCGAUUUUCUGACUAUGCUUUCCUAUAUUAAUUAAGAGGUCUGGACGGCUGAGCGGCUUACCCCAGCCUGAUAGGUCCUAUCAAAUUGGUAUCAGAGCCUAGGAACUUUCAUAGUAAUUAUAUAGUAGAUCUGAAGUCUAUGACAUAGAUAUGAAGUUUUAUAUAAAUGGAUAUGGGAGAAGUUAGUACGAAAAGUACUAAACUAGAAGAGGUAGGACUUAUUAAAUAAAUGAACUAUUCCACAAGUAGAUAUAAAAAUCAUUUAUGAUUAUGGCUUUCUUGAUAGAUUUAAAUAUAAGCAGAUAAUAAAAACCACUGAACAAUCUAUUGCUCUGAAUGCUGACGAACAAACCAUAAAAUUAUUGAAUAAAAAAGAUAUUGAUAUAUUUAAAAAUCAUUAUAAUUUUAUGCAUAUUGGUUUAGUGCAAAUUUCUUUUAAACCGCUAACCUUAAAAGGUCUUCCAAAGACAUUUCUAGUUGCAUUACGUGAUGCUAAAAAUUUAAAUUUCAAACAAUCUCUGAUGGAAUCUAUAGAAUCUACUCUUGCAUAUGGCCCUGUAUAUUUUAACACUCAGCCAAAUUUACAACUAUCUUUGACUGAUAUGCAUAUUCUCGAUGCUUUAAUUUUAAAUGUGAAAACUCAUGGCUAAAAUUAUGCGCCUGGAUCUGAACUUAUAUGUUUGUCUUAUUAUAUUUAUUAUCGUUUAUUAUCUACUUUAAAUCCUCGAUGUAAGUUAAUCAAAGAUGCUUCUAAUUCUACUAUGCUUAUCGAAACCAAUUUUGCAAAAUCCAAGGUCACUACAAGGAGACUUAUUAGAUGGGAUGAGAUUAAUUUCCCAAAAACUUGGGUUUUAAAUUCAGUCAUUUCUCCAAAAAAACUUUCGGAGGAUGUGACAAAUUCAGAGUUAGCUCAUGUAACUCAAAAUACAGACGACAGAAUUUGUCUCCAAUUUAACGAUAAUUCUACCGUUUAUAAUCGAAAUUCCUUUUCUAUACCAAGAAUGUUACAUGCUAUGCAUCAUAUCUCACCAGUUGAACCAGUAUAUGGUCCUUCUAGAAGUCGUGCUGCAUCUUUGCAUACUAUAAAUUCUGCAGAUUCACAUACUCUAUUUAAAAAUAUUGAAAAAAUUAAAAUCAAUCCUAAAACAAAUAUAGUUCAAGAUAAUGAUAAUAUCCCAGAUAGGGAUAAUCCCACUCCCUCUGAAAUGGAGUUUGAUGUCAAUUCUUGUUAAUCAUGAUUCCACAUCUAAUUAUUUUAGUCCUGGUUCACCAGCCAGAAAUUAUAUUAAAAUAGAUUUUUUUCUGAAAAAUGGAAAACGUUUAGGACAUGAUUUUUUGAAACCUAUAGUUCUGAUGAAUUAAAAAAAAUUUCUGAAGAAUUUUAUGAAAUUUGUCCAUUGCAUAAUCAAAUUGUUUACUUUGUGCCAUGGUAUAUGUCUGCGUAUUUGCCUUUAUAUGAAAAAAUUAUUGAAAGGUCAUAUCAAAAUGCCGAUGGUACUGUAACUCAGACUAUUUAUCCCCCUCAAUAAUCUUUCAUAUUAUCCAAUAAUACUGGUAUAACCUUCUCUGCUUUUCAAAAAUUCGUUGAUAAUGAAGUUGGAAAAAUCACUAUUUCUGAAAUAAAUAGUUUAAUUACUCAAAAUAAUUAUUUAAGCCUUUAUGUGAAAGUUCUUGGAGAACAUAUUUCCUCUCUUGAUAAAAAGCUAGAUAUCAUGACUGAUUUGAUUAAGAAGCUAAGCGAUAGUCAAAAGUUAUCUGAUAUUGCUUCUACCUUAGAAAGCAAAAUAGAAGAUUUGACAGCUAAGCCUCAUAUUCAAAGACCUCCUGAUAUUCAAGGAUUUCGAAAACCCACUGAUUUAGAACAACUUGAAAAACUUCUUGAAAAGAAAUUUUCUAGUUUAAAUAUAAAACCCAUGGAUCUGUCUAAUAGUUUUGCUGAUUCUAUUCAAUCUAUUUCCAGUAAUUUUGAGGAUAUACAAUCCACUCCAAUCUCUAAGAUAGGAGCAGAAAUUCACUCAGAGUUAAAUAAACUCAGAGGAAUGGUGAGAAAACAAUCGGGGACAAAAUAUGCUGAUAUUCCCCAUAUGCAAACUGCCUAUUAUCCAAGACCAAAUCCUCAAGAUGUUCUGGUAGAAGAAAGAGAUUGGUUUUUAACAAACACGUUUUAUAGUGGAGAACAUAUAUAGGAAUGGAACUUAGAUGGAUUAACUGAAAGACAUUUAUCUAUUUUAGUCUAUUAAAUGUUAAUGUAUUCUAUUAUUGCAAAAGUAUCUAGUCCUAAAGAUGACGAUGGUGAGCCUGUUAGGACGGAUGCUACUAUAUGUAAAAUGAUUGUUGCAGGUUUUACUAGCCAACUUCGUGGCUGGUGGGACUAUUUCCUUUCAAAUGAAGAAAGAAACAAAAUUUUUGAAGCCAAAAAUCUGUUGCUUGGUGUUGAUAACCUAGGUAGAAAAUUGCCAGCGGGUAUAGAAGACGCUGUUUACAUCCUUAUGCUUACUAUUAUUCAACACUUUGGAGGUAGAUUUACCAAUCAAUAUGAAAAUACUCGCACCUUCUUAAAUGGUCUUAGAUAUCGAUAUUUAGGGAAAUUUAGAUGGUAUAAAGAUACUUUCCUUGCUAGGGAUAUGGAUUUACCCGAAUCUAGAUUAGAACACUGGAAAGUAAGAUUCGUAGAUGGACUUCCUCCUCUGUUUGCUGAAAGGGUAAGAAAAUCUAUUAAAGGACAAUAUGGUGCAAUUCCUUGGACAGAUUUUACUUAUGGCUAGCUUCUAGUAGCUUGUACCAAAGAAGGACUAAAAAUUUAUAAUGAGUUGAAACUGUCUAGACAAAUUAAGAUAGAUAGGAUCAAAGAAAGAACCCAACAAGGAGACUUUUGUGGUCAAUUUGGAAUGGAAAAUCCUAUCUCUAGCAAAAGAGGCCAUAGAACUAGUAACCCAGAAAAACCUCAUAGAAAAAGAAGGUAUAGAAACAAAUCUAAAGAAGAGUGUGAAGCCAGAAAAUCCCAUCUUAUGUCGACUAGAUUUACGAAAAAUAGGUCCAAAAGUGAUCUAGCAAAAAUCAAGUGUUAUAAGUGUAAGCAAUUUGGUCAUAUUGCUCCAAAUUGUAAGCUCCAAAAACUUAAGUCUCUAGAACUCUCUGAAGACAUGCAUGAUAAAAUUUAUGAUUUAUUAUAUACUUCAGGUUCUGAGUCUAAUUAUGAAUAUGAAUCUGAGAAUAUUAUUGAAUUACCUGAUUCCACGGAUAGUGAGAAUUAUGAAAAAACCUGAGGCUAAUGCCUGCACAGAUUUCUCUAACAAUGUUUUUGAUUGUAAAAAUAUUUUUUAUAAAUUACAAUCCCCGUUUGAAGAUUUAGAUUUAAACGUUCAAACAAUUACUGCUAAUAGUGCUUUAGAACUAUUGAAAGAAGUUAUUGAUGAAAAACUUCGCCAAAAAAAUAUUGAUCUUGCUUCCUCACAACCUAGCACUUUAAAGCCUGCUAAUAAUAAAGUUAUUAAGUAAAAAUAAAAAAAUUCUGAUUCUGUUAUUGAUAUGAUGCCCUAUUCUCUAACUGAAGUUAAUAGACUUCUUGGCAUUAGUCAAACUCCUGGUACAUAUACGUCUUUUAACGAUUUAAAAAUAGAAGUUGAAAACCUGAAAAAAGAGAUUAUUUUUUUAAGACAAAAUCAAAUAAUUUUAGAUCAUAGAAUUUCGAAAAUUGAAAAAAAUAUUUUCUAAAAUGACAUUGUUUCCAAUUUUAAAGGAAAAGAAAAGGUUGCUGAAAAUUCUGAAAAUUAUAUUGUUCGUGAUAUGGAUGUAAAAAAUGAUUAUUUUUUGUGUAUGAUGCAAAUAGUUAAUGCCCAUAAAUGGUAUAUAAAUUGUACUAUAUUGAUUAAUAACGAAUUUUCUGUAACUAAUGUGGCUAUGAUUGAUAGUGGUGCUGAUGUUAGCUGCAUUCAAGAAGGAUUAAUUCCAACCAGAUAUUUAAAAAAAAAAUGCAUAUUGUUAGAUCUGCCUCUGGUCAUUCCCUGGAUAUUAACUAUAAAUUGCCGCAUGCGUAUAUUUGUAGAAAUAAGGUUUGCAUUCCACAUUUCUUUUUUCUAGUCAAAAAUCAAUUAUAUCCCCCUAUUAUUUUAGGAACACCUUUUAUAAAUGCUAUUUAUCCCUACACACAUAUUGAAGCUAAAGGCUUCAAAGCCACCUAUAAAAAUCAAGAAAUUUCUUAUCCUUUUGUUACAGAUCCAGUAACACGAGACAUAAAUGCUUUGAUUGAUAUGAAGCAAAAACAUGUGAAUCUUUUAUAGCUUGAAAUGAUGAGUACUAAUAUUUAUAAUACAAUGAAUUCUGCAAAAAUUUAGGAAAAAAUCAAAUUGGCAUCUACUCAACUGAUUGUUGAUAUUUGUGCUGGUCACCCAAAUGCUCUUUGGACUCGCAAAGAGCAUAUUGUUUCUCUUCCUUAUGAAGAUGAUUUCAGAGAAGAUCAUAUUCUGACAAAAUUCAAAUCCUGUAAAAUGAAUACAGAGUUAGUAGGAUUCUGUAAAAAAGAGAUAGAAGGUCUCCUACAAAAGGGUCUCAUAAAACCCUCAAAAUCCCCUUAGUCUUGUACUGCUUUAUUUGUCAAUAAUGCUGCUGAAAAAGAACGAGGUACGCCAAGAUUAGUAAUUAAUUAUAAACCUCUGAAUAAAGUUUUAAAAUGGAUUAGGUAUCCAAUACCUAAUAAAAAAGACUUACUAUCUAGAUUAUAUGAUGCCAAUAUAUUUUCAAAAUUUGAUCAAAAAUCUGGUUAUUGGCAAAUUCAAAUUGAUAAAAGGCAUACUUAUAAAACUGCCAUUAAUGUCCCUUUUGGACAAAUUGAUUUAAAAAAUGCUCCUUCUGAAUUUCAAAAAAUCAUGAAUGAUAUAUUUAAUGCCGAUAUGGAUUUUAUAAUUGUAUAUAUUGAUGAUAUCCUUGUGUUUUCAGAAACAAUAGAAUUACAUUCUAAACAUCUGAAUAUUUUCAAACAAAUUGUGAUACAAAAUGGUUUGGUUAUUUCUAAACCAAAAAUGUGUUUGUUCCAAACAAAUGUUCGAUUUUUAGGACAUAAUAUUUGUAAAGGAACAAUUGAGCCUAUACAAUGAGCUAUGGACUUUGCUGAAAAAAUUUCUGAUAUUAUUACUGAUAACUCAGUUGCAGCGAUUUCUAGGAAGUCUUAACUAUAUUUCUCCCUUUUAUUAGAAUCUAUCUAAAGAUUUAGAUCCUUUAUAUGAUAGGUUAAAAAAAUAUCACAAAAAGCGUUGGACUCAAGUCCACACCGAUCUGCUAAGAUUAAUAAAAAAAUGUGUUGCGACUCUGCCUUGUUUAACCUUAGCUAAUCCAGCUUGGUUAAAAAUAGUUAAAACUGAUGCUUUAAAUAUUGGUUAUGGAGGAAUACUUAAACAAAUUAAUCCCUAUAAUAAUGUUGAAUGUUUGGUUAGAUUUCAUUCUGGAAAAUGGUCUGAAAGUCAGGAAAAAUACGCCACUGUGGCCCAUGAAAUGUUAACUAUUGUUAAAUAUGUUUUAUAAUUCCAAGAUGAUUUAUAUAAUCAAAAAUUAAUAGUUCGAACAGAUGCUCAAUCUGUUUAGUACAUGUUCGUCAAAGAUUUUAAACAUGAUGCCUCUAAAUUGAUAUUUGUAAGAUGGCAAGCCCAGCUAGCCCCUUUAGAUUUCAAAAUUCAAUACAAGAAAUGUAGUAAAAAUUCUUUGCCUGAUUUCCUAUCUAUGGAAUACUUAAAUAAUUAAAUGAAUUAUUACACAUACUUUUUUUCUGAAAAAACAAUAAUUACUAUUAUAAAAUGCAUUCCUCUAAAUGAAGAUAUUCAUUUUAUCAUAUUAGAAAAACUUAUCCAUAAUAUGAUAGAAGAAGAUUUAUUUCUUUCCAAUUUUGAAGAUAUACUAGAUGAAAUUGAUUGGUCUGAUAUUGACUCAUCAUUUGAUAAAUUCUAAUCUACUUAAUGCAGAAUACUCCUCUUCCAGGGGAAGAAACUCCCCCUCAUCAUCAUAUGCUUCUUCAUCAUCUAAUUUUCCAGUAUUGCAAAGGGGAAAUAUAAGUCUGAUUAAUGCAAGAAUUCUGCAAAUUGCAGAAUCAUCUUCUAAAACUCCGCAUAUGAGCACUUCAAUCCAUUUGAACGAGAUUCCAUAGGAUCAUCGUUUAUUUGAGCAACUACGAUCUUUUAUAUCUUCCAAGCAAGCCGAUUCGUUUACUUUAGUUGCCAAAGAAAACACUGCCGAUAGGCAAAAUUAUGAAAAACUUGAAAAUCGAGAGCUAAUAGUUCACGUAGAAAAUUCUCAAAUAUGUAAAAAAAAUGAUCCAUGGAAACUCCUUCAAAAAUAUUUAUUAACUGACCUCUAUUUUGCAGGAGAAUCUAACAAGACAAGAGCCUUUUAUGAAUCAAUACUAGUGGCUACUGGAAGUAUUGAAAUAGAACACCAUCAAAUGGGUGAAACAACUCCAGAUGUUCAUGGAUACUCCAAGAUGGUCAUUAAAAAACUCAUAUCAAUAGAAGAUUGGGGAACCACUUCCAUGACAAAAAAAUUCAUGACAAUGAAAGGAUAAAAAAUCGCCUUAACUUAUUGGGACUAUAUGAAAGCCUUUACCCAAACCUUAUAUUAUAACAAUAUUAAACAUAAAAAUACUUGGUUUCUAAAGUUUUUUUCUAAAGUCUUUGAAGACCCAAUUCCCAAUUGGUUUAUUCAAUGGUGGUUGUAUCAUGGCCCUAUAGUAAAAAUUCUGCUAGUAGAAUAUUUGCAUCUGUACAAAGAAUGGAUUAAAGUGUCACCAUUUCUAACAGACUUAUAUUAUUCAGAUCAUGUCUGUAAUCUAGAUAAAAUUGACCAAAUGUAUUUCUUUAUAGAAUUAUCCAUUCCAUGGAUAUAUAAAUGGAGUGUUGAAUUCAGAUACAUGAAAGAACAAAUACCCGGAUUUUAUAGGGUAUUCUACACCAAUUUUUGGGAAAAGCUAACAAGAAAUGACCCUCUCACUAAGCUCUUGCAUGGACGAGAAUUUGUCGAAUCCAUUAAUCAGAAGAUCGUCGGAUCCACCACUGCUCCACAAAAAAUAUUGUGGAAGAUAAAAACCUAAGUUACAUUUCUAGAAGAAUCUCUAUACAUGACAAAGACAGAUUAGAAAUGAUUGAAAAAUACUUAAAAGAAGUUCAAAAAAAUUUGAUGAAAACUGUGGAACAAUGUUCGGAUACUUCCAUAAAGAGUCUUACGAGUGAAGAAGCAGCUGAAUCUGAAGAUAUUCAAGAAUCCCAGCCACUUCCUCCUGAAAAUAUUCUUAAUGAUAAAGAAAUUGAAAGAGCUUAGGCCUUACUCUAUCAACUAAAAAGCAAAGGAAAAGACAAGAUAUGAUAGGUUUUCUAUGGUUGUUUUCUAUGUAUAGGACCCAUAUAUGGGACCCUUAAAUAAUAAAAAUACUAUGCGCAGGGACCUACUAGUACUGUGCAAGAUGCUUUUUAUUUCUAUAUAUAUAGACGCCUCAUCUGUUAUAAGCUAGAAAAAUUUUCUCUCUUUCAAUUUUCUCUCUCUAAGUCUCCUCUUCUUUCUUUCUUCCCUUCUUGUAUAAUAUUUCAAGUCUUUAAUAAAAGAAGGCAGCUAGCCGGCAUUUACUAUUCAGGCCUUGCAUCCGUCCAUUAUUAAGGUAUUUAUUUAUUUUCUUUUAAAGUACUUCUAAUAGUUUUUCUUUCCUUCCAGCCGUGACUAUGUCCGGAUAAAAACCUUUCAUAUCUAUGCCAGAGAUCUAACUUCUCUUACUUAGUAUUUAUGAAAGAUCUAGCCUCUAUCAAAAUAUGAAAGAAUUUUUAUAUAGUUUCUUGACUUGGUUCUGAAAUGGUUGGUACAGUCGAAAUUAGUCCUGCUUAUGAUGGCUUUGUCUUAAUGACUACAUCUAGCAAGCUAUGGUUUCUAAGCCUCCUAAAGAUAAAUAAAAGGGUGUUAUUUUCAAAGUUAGAAUCACUAGACACAUGGGCUCAUUAUAAGUAUGUAUUAGUAUUCUGACAGGCUCUUUGUUCAGGUGAAAGAUUCCAUACAGUCAUUUAGCUAUUUGAAAAUUCUCUUAUACUUCAGUUGGUGCUUUGGUUUGGUUAUCUGACUACGCUUUCUAAUAUUAAUUAAGAGGUCUGGACAGUUGAGCGGCUUACCCCAGCCUGAUAGGUCCAGUAGUUUUGGAGAAAUGACUGAAUUUAAAACCCAAGUUUUUGGGAAAUUAAUCUCAUCCCAUCUAAUAGGUAUCCUUGUAGUGACCUUGGAUUUUGCAAAAUUGAUUUUGAUAAGCAUAGUAGAAUUAGAAGCAUCUUCGAUUAAUUUACAUCUAGGAUUUAAAGUAGAUAAUAAAUGAUGAUAAAUACGAUAAGACAAACAUAUAAGUUCAGAUUCCCAAUUACCUGAAUCUAGAUUAGAAUACUGGAAAGCCAUAUUCGUAGAUGGACUUCCUCCUCUAUUUGCUGAAAGGGUUAGAAAAUCUAUUAAAGGACAAUAUGGUGCAAUUUCUUGGACGGAUUUCACUUAUGGCCAGCUUCUAGCAGCUUGCACCGAAGAAGGACUAAAAAUUUAUAAUGAGUUGAAACUAUCUAGACAAAUUAAGCUAGAUAGGAUCAAAGGAAGAACCCAAUUAGGAGACUUUUAUGGUCAAUUUGGAAUGAAAAAUCUUGUCUCUAGCAAAAGAUGCCAUAGAACUAGUAACCCAGAAAAAACUCAUAGAAAAAGAAGGUAUAGACACAGAUCUAAAGAAGAGUGUGAAGCCAAAAAAACCCAUCGUAAGUCUACUAGAUUUACGAAAAAUAGGUCCAAAAGAGAUCUAGCAAAAAUCAAGUGUUAUAGGUGUAAGCAAUUUGGUCAUAUUGCUCCAAAUUGUAAGCUCCAUAAAACUUAAGUCUCUAGAUCUCUCUGAAGACAUGCAUGAUAAAAUUUAUGGUUUAUUAUAUAAUCCAGGUUCUGAGUCUAAUUAUGAAUAUGAAUCUGAGAAUGAUAUUGAAUUACCUGAUUCCACGGAUAUUGCAAAUUAUGAAAAACCUGAGGUUAAUGUCUUCACGGAUUGCACUAACAAUGUUUGUGAUUGUGAAAAUACUUUUUUAUAAAUUAAAAUCCCAGUUUGAAGAUUUAGAUUUAAAUGUUCAAACAAUUACUGUUGACAGUGCUUUAGAGUUAUUGAAAGAAGUUACUAAUGAAAAACUUUGCCAAUAUCAGAUAACUUUUGACUAUUGCUUAGCUUCUUUAUCAAAUCAGUCAUGAUAUCUAGCUUUUUAUCAAGAGAAAAAAUAUGUUCUCCAAGAACUUUCACAUAAAGGAUUAAAUAAUUAUUUUGAGCAAUUAAACUAUUUAUUUCAGAAAUAGUGAUUUUUCCAACCUCAUUAACAACGAAUUUUUGAAAAGCAGAGAAGGUUAUUCCAGUAUUGUUGGGUAGUAUGAAAGCUGAUUGAGGGGGAUAAAUAGUUUGAGUUACAGUACCAUCGGCAUUUUAAUAAGACCUUUCAAUAAUUUUUACAUAUUAAGGAAAAUAUGCAGACAUAUAUCAUGGAACAAAGCAAACAUUUUGAUAUACAAUGCACACAUUUCAUAAAAUUCUUCAGAAAUAUUUUUCAAUUCAUCAUAACUAUAGGUUUCAUAAAACCAUGUCCGAACGUUUUCCAUUUUUCAGAAAAAAAUUCUCUUUUAAUACAAUUUCUGGCUGGUGAAUCAGAACUAAAAUCAAUUAGCUGUGGAAUCAUGAUUAACAAGAAUUAACAUCAAACUUCAUUUUAGAGGGAGUGGGUUUAUCCUUAUCUGGGAUAUUAUCAUUAUCUUGAACAAACCUACGUUAUAUUUCUAGAAGAAUCUCUGUACAUGACGGAUAAAAAUUAAAAAUAAUUAAAAAAUACUUGGAUGAAGUCUGAAAAAAUUUGAUGAAAGCUGUGGAACAAUGUUCAGAUACUUUCAUCAAGAGUCUUACAAGUGAAGAAGCAGCUGAAUCUGAAGAUAUUCAAGAAUCCCAGCCACUUCGUCCUGAAAAUAUUCUUAAUGAUAAAGAAAUUGAAAGAGCUGAGGCCUUACUCUAUCAACUAAAAAGCAAAGGAAAAAACAAGAUAUGAUAGGUUUACUAUGCUCGUCUUCUAUGUAUAGGACCCAUAUAUGGGACCCUUAAAUAAUAAAAACACUAUGCACAGGGACCCACCAGUACUGUGCAAGAUGCUUUUUAUUUCUAUAUAUAUAGACGCCUCAUCUGUUAGGGAGGCAUAAGCUAGAAAAAUUUUCUCUCUUUCAGUUUUCUCUCUCUAAGUCUGCUCUCCCGUCUCUCUACCCUCUUGUAUAAUAUUUCAAGAAGGCAGCUAGCCGAUAUUUACUAUUUAGGCCUUGCAUCCGGCCAUUAUUAAGGUAUUUAUUUAUUUUCUUUUAAAGUACUUCUAAUACUUCUUCUUUCCUUCCAGCAGUGACUAUGUCCAGCUAAAAACCUUUCAUACCUAAGUUUGAACCUUUAGAAACCAAGUAUGUUUUUGUUUAGUAUUGUUAUAAUAUAAGGUUUGGGUAAAGGCUUUUAUAUAGUCCCAAUAAGUGAAAGCAAUUUUCGAUCCUUUCAUUGUCAUGAAUUUUUCUGUCAUGGAAGUGGUUUCCCAGUCUUCUAUUGAUAUGAGUUUUUUAAUGAUCAUCUUGGAGUAUCCAUGAACAUCUAGAGUUAUUUCACCCAUUUGAUGGCAUUCUAUUUCAAUACUUCUAGUAGCCACUAGUAUUGAUUCAUAAAAGGCUCUUGUCUUGUAAGAUUUUCCUACAAAAUAGUGGUUAGUUAAUAAAUGUUUUUGGAGGAGUUUCCAUGAAUCAUUUUUUUUACAUAUUUGCGAAUUUUCUACGAGAACUAUUAGCUCUUGAUUUUUAAGUUUUUCAUAAUUUUGCCUAUCAACAGUGUUUUCUUUGGCAACUAAAGUAAACAAAUCAGGUUGCUUGGCAGAUGUAAAAAAUUGUAGUUGCUCAAAUAAAGGAUGAUCCUAUGGAAUCUCGUCCAAAUGGAUUGAAGUGCUCAUAUGCGGAGUUUUAGAAGAUGAAUUUGCAAUUUGCGAAAUUCUUGCAUUAAUCAGACUCAUAUUUCCCCUUUGGAAUACUAGGUAAUUGGAUGAUGAAGAAGCAUAUGAUGAUGAAGGGGAUUUUCUCCCCCUAGAAGAAGAGUAUGCUGCAUUAAGUAAAUUAGAAUUUAUCAAAUGAUGAGUCAAUAUCAGACCAAUCAAUUUCAUCCCGUAUAUCUUCAAAAUUAGGAAGAAAUAAAUCUUCUUCUAUCAUAUUUUGGAUAAGUUUUUCUAAUAUGAUAAAAUGAAUAUCUUCACUUAGAGGAAUGCAUUUUAUAAUAGUAACUUUUGUUUUUUCAGAAAAAAGGUAUGUGUAAUAAUUCAUUUAAUUAUUUAAGUAUUCCCUAGAUACGAAAUCAGGCAAAGAAUUUUCACUACCUUUCUUGUAUUGUAUUUCGAAAUCAAAAGGGGCUAGCUGGGCUUGCCAUCUUGCAAAUAUCAAUUUAGAGGCAUCAUGUUUAAAAUCUUUGUCGAACAUGUACUUAACAAAAUGAGCAUCUGUUCGAACUAUAAAUUUUUGAUUAUAUAAAUCAUCUUGGAAUUUUAAAAUACAUUUAACAAUAGUUAACAUUUCAUGGGCCACCGUGGCGUAUUUUUUUUUUGACUUUUAGACCAUUUUCCAGAAGGAAAUCUAACCAAACAUUCAACAUUAUUAUGGGGAUUAACUUGUUUAAGUAUUCCUCCAUAACCAAUAUUUGAAGCUUCAGUUUCAACUAUUUUUAACCAAGCUGGAUUAGCUAAGGUUAAACAAGGUAGAGUCGCAACAUGUUUUUUGAUUAAUCUUACCAGAUCGGUGUGGACUUGAGUCCAAGUCUUUUUGUGAUCCUUUUUAACCUAUCAUAUAAAGUAGCUAAAUCUCUAGAUAAAUUCUGAUAAAAGGGAGAAAUAUAGUUAAGACUUCCUAGAAAUCAUUGCAACUGAGUUUUAUUAGUAAUAAUAUUAAAAAAAUUUUCAGCAAAGUUCAUAGCUCGUUGUAUAGGCUCAAUUGUUCCUUUACAAGUAUUAUGUCCUAAAAAUCGAACAUUUGUUUGGAACAAACACAUUUUUAGUUUAGAAAUAACCAAACCAUUUUGUAUCACAAUUUUUUUUGAAAAUAUUCAGAUGUUUAAAAUAUAAUUCUAUUGUUUUUAAAAGCACAAAGAUAUCAUUAAUAUAUACAAUUAUAAAAUACAUAUAGGCAAUCAAUAUAUCAUUCAUGAUUUUUUGAAAUUCAGAAGGAGCAUUUUUUAAACCAAAUGACAUAACAUUCCAUUCAUAUUAUCCAAAAGGGACGUUAAAGGCACUUCUAUAUGUAUACCUUUUAUCAAUUUGAAUUUGCCAAUAACCAGAUUUUUGAUCAAAUUUUGAAAAUAUAUUGGCAUCAUAUAAUGUAGAUAGUAUGUCUUUUUUAUUAGGUACUGGAUACCUAAUCCAUUUUAAAACUUUAUUCAGAGGUUUAUAAUUAAUUACCAAUCUUGGCGUACCUCGUUCUUUUUCAACAACAUUAUUGACAUAGAAAGCAGUACAAGACCAAGGGAAUUAAUAAAGUUGUUAAGAAAAAUUUAAAAUAUUAUGAUUCUAUUAUUGAUAUGAUGCCCUAUUCUCUAACUGAAGUUAAUAGACGUCUUGCCAUCAGUCAAACUCCUGGUACAUAUACGUCUUUUAACGAUUUAAAAAUAGAAGUUGAAAACCAGAAAAAAGAGAUUAUUUCUUUAAGACAAAUCAAAUAAUUUUAGAUCAUAGAAUUUCAAAAAUUGAAGAGAAUAUUUUCCAAAAUGACAUUGUUUCCAGUUCUAAAGGAAAAGAAAAGGUUUCUGAAAAUUCUGAAAAUGAUAUUAUUCGUGAUAUGGAUGUAAAAAAUGAUUAUUUUUUGGGUAUGAUGUAAAUAGUUAUUGCCCAUAAAUGGUAAAUAAAUUGUACUAUCUUGAUUAAUAACGAAUUUUUUGUAACUAAUAUGGCUAUGAUUGAUAGUGGUGCUGAUGUUAGCUGCAUUCAAUAAGGAUUAAUUACAACCAGAUAUUUUGAAAAAACAACGCAUAUUGUUAGAUCUACCUCUGGUCAUUCUCUGGAUAUUAACUAUAAAUUGCCACAUGUGUAUAUUUGUAGAAAUAAGGUUUGCAUUCCACAUUUCUUUUUUCUAGUCAACAACUUUUGUAUUUCACUCUCUUCUCUGCCUAUUUCUUGCUUCUUCUUUACUUUGCUUGUAUUUUAUUUGAAUAAUAAUUUUUUUUUCUAAAAACUUGUUGGUUUAUAAUUAAUUAUGUUGAUUUUUGUAUCCUCUGAUUAAUUAGGAAAGACUUAUUUAAUUUAAGAUAUCCUCUAAUUAAUCAGGAAAGUUCUUGUUUAACUUUGGAGAAACAUUUCACAUUACAAAAAUAAUUUCUCAGGACAGUGUCUUGCUCGACUCAAAUAUUUUUAUAUAUAGUAUACUUAUAUAUUUAAUACAAUAUUAUAAUAAUAAUAAUUAGUUAAUUUUUUAUACUAUUAAGUUAUUAGUAUAUUGUUAAAUCAUUACGUUGCUAAAAUUAAAUAUUAUUAUUAUUGUUAUAUUCAACAUCGUUUUCCAACAAUCCAAGAGACUGACAAGUAAUACUAAUAUUCUGAAACUAAUACCGAUGCUAUCCCUACUACUUUUGUUUAACUUGUUUACCCAUAUGCUAAAUCAUUUAUUGAUGUAUCAAAUAUUGAAAUUUUUGCUAAUGAAAAUUUUUAAAGAUGGCAAGUACGUGUUUUCUCACUACUCGAUGUUCAUGGGGCGGCACAUACUUUGCUAUAUCCACUACGAGGUAUAGAAAUCGAUAAUAAAAUUUUGAUAUCAUGGCAAUACGCUGAUAAGGUAUGUCGCCAUACUAUAUUACAAACUAUUUCUAAUGAACUAUUAGAUGUAUAUUGUAGUUGCAAGGAAGCAAAAUUAAUUUGGAAAGCCUUAAUUAAAAACUUCACUAUUGAAGAUGCUACCAAAAAAAGUUUGUAGUUUGAAGAAAUUAUAACUGGAAGAUGAGUGAUAUGAAGGAGAUGAAAAUUCAAAUCAACCAAUAUCAAACAUUGCUUUAUGAUCUAAAAGCCAAACAAAUCUCUCUACCAAAAAAUUUUACGGUAGGAGUGUUGAUUAAAAAAUUACCUGACUCAUAAAAUGACUAUAAAAAUAGCCUAAAGCAUAAGGAAAUAAAUUUCACUAUUGUGGAGAUAAUGUGAAACGCCCCAAACCUUGGCCCUUGUAAAUUUCUCGAGUCUUGAACUUUCUGUUCAUCAUACAACUCACACCACAAGUCGUAUGGUGUGGUGAUGGGUUUAUGGAACCUAGUCGUAUGUUGGUUAAUGUGUUUCUGGCUAAGUUUCUAUCCUAGAUAAGAUAGACUCCAUACGAGUCAUCUGUUGAUGUGAUGAGAGGGUUGAGUUCAAUCUUAUGUUGUUAGUGUCUAGCCCUUAAUGUUCUGCCUAGAAUACGACUUAAUGGUACUAGUUGUGUGGUAUGGUGAUGGGUUGGGCAAAGCCGUAUGUUGGAUAAAUGUAGUGUCCAACUUUCUGACUAAGUGACGACUUGAGGAUACCAUUUGUAUGUUAUGCUGAUGAGUUGGAAGGUCCACUAGUACCCACGUGCGAGUUUUCUAAAGCUUUUAAGUUAGGAGUACUUUGGACAUUUCCCACCUCAAAUUCCUUAAGACCCCACGUCUUAUAACAUAAAUUGGGCAUUCAUUCUACACUUAGCAAGGUUAGAACACUCUCUAAACUCUCUCAAAUAGAUUAGUUUAGGGUUUCAUCAAACUAUCCAAUUAAGGUUAUCAAGGGUGGUUUUUCUCUGUUUUUCUUGGUGUCUAAAGCAUAUUAAUCUUCCUAUAUUGUAAGUUAACAAAAAACUCAUGUUUUAUUGUAUGGUGUUUAUGGUAUUAUUGUGGAUUUAUUUUAGUUUUGAAAAGAUAUUGGGGUUUUUUUGGCUAUUCAUGGUUGGAUAAUGUUUUUCCAUACUUUUUUGUGGGUUUUAAUGUUAUAAUUAUGGUUUGAACAUGUGGUUAUAUGAGAAUGGUGACGUUGAUGCUUGGUUUUUGGUUUGGAAACUAUAUGCCUUUAACAUGUUUGUUAAAAUGUCAAUGAGUGGUUUUUGUCACAUAGUUUGACUUUUCUUGAAAUCUUUGCAUUGCAUGGUAUGGUAAUGGAACCUAAAUUGGUUUGGUUUAUUUUAAAUGGCUUAAAAAGGCCUUGCUGGCCAUGGUUUUGGUUUAAUUGGAAAUCUUGUGAGGUACAUGGGAAUCCCCUAAGUUUUGGCUAGUGACAUUACUUGCAAGCUAUAGUCGGUAUGACGAUACCACUUUAUAAUGCCUUGAUAAUGGACUCCUUGAAUUGGUGGUUUGGCUAUGUGCUGAAUGUUUUAAUUGGGCAAUAAUGGUAGAUUGUGAUUGCUAACCGUGAAGGAGUGAGUUCAAUGGACGGAGACUAGAAACUCAUAUUUGUUGACAUGAGGGUUGGUCUUGGUGACCAUAUGCUUGUGGGGUACACGGGAAUCAUCCAAGUUUAUGCUUGUAUAUAUUUAUCAUGAAGGGUGAAGGGUACACGAGAAUCCCUAACCCCUAUGAUAUCUCCGAUUCAUGCGUCUACACGCAUUGGGGCCCGUUCAGGGGGUAACACUGGACCUAUAUAGCCCAUGGGUGGAUUAUGGUGGUAAAGCAACACAACCCACUUUAAGGUUUUAAAUGCAUGCUAAACCCGAUUUAUUAUCCCAACAUGAUAUAUAUAUAUAUAUAUAUAUGUAUGUAUGUAUGUAUGUAUACAUAUGAGGCGCUAUAUCCCCACACGAUGUAGGAACCGACCAUGCUAACAUUCCCCCUGUCAGUGACUUGGAUUUGGGGUUAGCUUUGAGUCAGACUAAAGUGGUGAGAUUUCAUACUCUGGAAGGCUCUAUUUCAUGCUAUGGACUUCUUUUAUUCUUGUUAUUUCUUCAGAUUGGUUUUGGCUAUGGUCGGGGGGAUAUCCCAAUCGAAUGUUAUUGAUUCUAGUUAAAGGCUUUAUCGACCAACUAUGGUUAUGGGUAAUGUUGGUAUUGGUGUCAGUCCUGGUAUUAGUAUUGGCAUUGGGGUUGGCACCGGUUGAAUUUUUUAUUGAGGUUGUUAGAUUAUGAUUAUAAACUUUAUUGAGUUUUUUUAAAUACUUCUUGUUUCAUCUUGUUAUAUGAUCAAAAUUUAUCCAACAUAGGGUGCAGGGUAGUUAUGGUGGGUAUCAAGGGUAGUCUCUUGUCCUGGUUGAACUUGAGAUGCCCGACACGACUAGGCCCGGGUUUGGAUCAUGUUAGAUUGGUAUAGAGCCUUAGGUUUAUGGUCAAUUAGAUAUCUGAUAAAGUCAUGUUGAUUAGAGUGUCAUUUAAGGGUGUGUAGCGCACCACAAUCAUAAGGGAGAGGCUAUAAGACAUUUAGAAAUAUUUUUGUUUCUUAUGUUCUGUUUUCAAGCUGUAGAGUCUAAGGUCCUAAAAUUUUCUCUAGUUCCUAUUUGUUCGCUUUUCAGAUCAUGCCUCCUCGACGAUCUAAAUCUUAUGGAAACACCUCUGUCCUACCUCAAGACUAUAUUGAUGGGACCCAUUCUACUUAUAGGGUCUAGACCCGGUCUAGGGGUCUAGUUCCUGAUUGUCCUCCUGGAGUUCUACCAGUUCCCUCCAGCCCUUUUUGAUUUCCUUAGACUAAUGUGAUGAAUACCGAGUUUCAUUAGUCUAUAUAUAUGUUGGUGCAAUUGGUAUCUUCUCAGGCUGAGUGUGGUGUUUAUGUUACUGCAUUUCCUGAGGCCAUAAGGGCUGGCCAUUUCAUGAGGUUGAAUCCUCCAACCUUUACUGGUGUUAAGGUAGAGGAGGAUCCUCAAGGUUUUCUAGAUGAUAUGGAAAAAAUCUUCUGUGUUAUGCAUGCCACAAAUAUGGAGGGUGUGGAAUUUUCCGCCUAUUAGCUGAAAGAUGUGGCAUACUCGUGGUAUGAGGAAUGGGAUCAGUCAAGGGGUGACGAUGUUGAGUCAUCUCUAUGGGCGAAUUUUUCUAAUUCUUUCUUGGACCUAUUCUUUCCUCAGAAGUUGAAUGAGGAAAAAGUGGAAGAGUUUGUUAAUCUGAAGCAAGGCAAGAUAUUAGUCAAGGAGUACGCCACGAAGUUUCGCCAGUUAUCUCGGUAUACAUUGAAGUUGGUUCCUAGCAUGAAGGAUAAAAUGAGGAAGUUUACUUCUAGUUUGUCCAAAGACUUGAUUUUGGAGAGUAAGGUUGCCUUGUUGAAUAAGGACAUGGAUAUCUCAAGGUUAGUUAUGUACAUGCAUCAGGCUGAGGAAGAGAAAAAGAAGCAGACUAUGAUAGGGGAGAGACAUGGCAAAAAGUUCAAAUUUUUUGAGAAGGGUGGUGGCCAACAACAGAGUGGCAGGGAUGGUCGUAAGUGGCCUAAGAAGAAGUGAGGCAAUUCUGGUUCUUAAUCGACUACUAGUGCUCCCUAUCCAAAGUCGUUGGAUGAUAGACAUUUCUAUAGUAGUGAUAAUGUUAGGGCAUAGGGUGCCCAAUAGCAGGAUUGUGAGGCCAGUCAACUCUAUCAUAUCCUCUCUAUAGAUUUUAUGGUCAUUUGUAUCGGGUUUUCAGUGAUAAGGGAAAGGACAAGUGCUUCAACUAUGGUUAGUUAGGGCACAUACUUAAAAACUGUCCUAUUGGUAAGGUUGUCUCUGGGACAAACAAGAUUUUAGUUGCCUCUUCAUCAGCUCUGGCACUAAAGGGUGCACCAUCUAGUUCCAACAUUGGUCGAAACUGUCUCUAUGCUCUCACUACCCGAUAGGAGUCUAAGGUAUCACCUAAUGUUGUGACUGGUAUGUUGAAACUCUUUUCCCAUGAUUUUUACUGUUUACUUGAUUCGGGGUCCAUUUUUUCUUAUGUGACCCUAUUUUUAGUUGUACAUUUGGUUUUGGUCUCGAGUGUAUUCCAUACCCUUUUCUAUUUCUACCCAGGUGGGUGACUCUGUGGUGCCUAGAAGAGUCUAUAGGGGCUAUGUGGUGUCUUUCGGUGGUCGGAAAACCUUGGUGGAUCUAUUUGAAUCAGACAUGGUUGAUUUUGAUGUCAUAUUGGGGAUGGAUUGGUUACACUCAUGCUAUGCUCCUUUAGACUGUCAAACUCGUAAAGUCAUCUUUAAAUUCCCUAAUGAGAUGGUUAUUAAAUAAAAGGAUCGUUCCCUAGCUCCUAAGUUAAAGUUCAUAUCGUAUCUUAGAUCUCGGAGAUAGAUCUCUAUGGGGUGUCUCUUUCAUCUAGUCCGGGCGAAUGAUUCUAACUCGAAGGGUCCUUCUUUGUAUUUUGUUCCAGUGGUGAAUGAAUUUCCUAAAGUUGUCCCUGAUGACCUUCCUGGUGUCCCUCCAAAUAGGGCGAUUGAUUUUGGGAUUGAUCUUAUUUUAGACACUCGUUCAAUUCUAUUCCUUAGUAUAUAAUGGCUCUGCUUAGUUGAACGAGCUUAAGGAGCAACUAAAGGAUCUCUCAGACAAGAGUUACAUCCGUCUUAAUGUGUCUCCGUGGGGUAUACCGGUAUUAUUCGUGCAUAAGCAGGAUGGUUCCUUUUGAAUGUGCAUUGAUUAUUGUUAGUUGAAUAUGGUGGCAGUACAGAAUAAGUACCCUCUUCUAAAUGAUAGAUGAUUUGUUUGAUCAGUUGCGGGGUGCUAAGUUUUUCUCUAAGAAUGAUCUUCGAUCUAGGUAGCAUUAGUUGAAUAUUAGGGAGGUGGAUCUUCCUAAGACUGUCUUCUGUAUUCCAUAUGAGCAUUUUGAAUUUCUGGUUAUGUCUAUUAAGAUGACCAAUGCCCGAACGACAUUCACAGACUUAACAAAUAAAGUUUUUCGUCAGUUUUUGGAUUUAUUCAUCAUUAUGUUCAUAGAUGAUAUUCUGGUGUACUCUAAGAGCGAGGUAGAUUAUGCCGAUUACCUCCAUACUGUGUUGCAAACCCUUAAAGAGUAGCAAUUAUAUGCCAAUAAUUGAAAUGUGAAUUCUGGUUGGAUGCUGUCAUUUUUUUUGGGUUAUGUCAUUUCUAGUGAAGUGAUUAUGGUGGAUCUACAGAAAGUUACAGUGGUUAAGAAGUGGCCAAGACCUAGGACUCCAACCGAUAUUCAGAGCUUCUUGGGUUUAGCUUCCUACUAUAAGAGGUUUGUGGAAAGUUUUUCGACUAUAGCUAACUUGUUAAAUAAGUUGACUCAGAAGAAAGUGAUGUUCUUGUGGUUUGAUGCUUAUGAGGGUAGUUUUGAAAGGCUGAAGGAUAAUCUAACUUUGGCUUUUAUCUUGACUUUUCCUGAAGGCAUGGAUGGUUUUGUGGUCUACUGUGAUGCAUCUCGUGUGGGUCUUGGUUGCAUCUUGAUACAUCAUGGCAAGGUGAUAACUUAUGCCUCUAGACAAUUUAAGGUGCAUGAGUGGAAUUAUUAGACUCAUGACUUGAAAUUAUUAGCUGUGGUGUUCACAUUGAAAAUAUGGCAGCACUAUUUGUAUGGAGUGUAUGUGGAUAGCUUUUUCGAUCAUAAGAGCCUACAAUAUGUGUUUACUUAAAAAGAGCUUAACCUCAGGCAAAGGAGAUGGAUUGAUCUACUCAAGGAUUAUGAUAUGAGUCUUCACUACCACCCAGGUAAAGCUAAUAUGGUUGUUGAUGCUCUUAGUAGGUUAUCCAUGGGGCGUCUGGCUUAUAUGGAUGAAGGGAAACGGGAGUUGGUGAAAGAUGUUCACCCUUUGGCUAAUCUUGGAGUUUGUCUUUUGGACUUCGAGGAUGGUGAUGUAUUUGUUUAGGAGGUGGUUAAGUCAUCCCUGGGUGAUGAGGUAAAGAAGAAGCAAUUGUUAGAUCCUAUCUUGAUGAAGAUCAAGGGUAAAGUAGCUGAGCAGAAGGUGAUGGCCUUCUAUAUUAGUGGUGAUGUUACCUUGCAGUACUAAAGGAGAUUAUGUGUUCCCAACAUUGAUGGUUUACGAGAGAGGAUCUUGGCUGAGGCGCAUGACUAACUCUUCUCACUUUUUACCAGUGAGGACUAAUUGUUUAGCAGAGGAUAAUGCAAGGUUGUAUCUCCAAGAGAUUGUGAAGUUGCACGGGGUCCCUGUUUCUAGUAUCUCAGAUUGUAGUAAGCAGUUUUCAGUGAACUUUUGGUUAUUAUUUUAGAAAGGUUUAGUGACCAAGGUGAGUCUUAGUACUGCUUUUCACCCGUAAUUGGAUAGGCAAGCGGAAUGGACUAUUCAGACAUUGGAAGAUAUACUUAGAGCUCGCGUGAUUGGUUAUGGCAGUAGUUGGGUUGAGCAUUUACCUCUUAUAGAGUUUGCGUAUAAUAAUAGCUACCACUCUAGAAUUGGAAUGGCUUCGUUUAAGGCUUUGUAUUAUAGGAGGUGUAUAUCUUCUAUUGGGUGGUUUGACGUUGGAGAGGCGGAGAUGUUUGGCCCGGAUUUGGUUCACCAAGCCAUGGAGAAGGUGAAGGUUGUUCGGGAUAUGCUUAGAGCCACCCAAAGUCAGAAAAAGUCCUAUACAGAUGUGAGGCAUAAGAAGUUAGAGUUUGAGAUUACGGAUAAAUUGUUCUUAAAGGUAUAUCCCAUGAAGGAAGUGAUGCGAUUUAGGAAGAAUUGGAAGCUCAGUUGUAAUACCCUGAUCGUUCCUUAAGCCUGAAUCCGUCUUUUGAAGUGAAUAUGGAUAACUUCCAAGGUGAAUGAUGUUUAAACCGUGUUGUAUUUCUCAAUUUCUACUUUCUAUCACGUGGAGAUUUGAAUAAGCUUUUCGUCGAUACCAAAUUCACCCAAAUUCGACCCUCGGGUAAAGAGUUAGAUCGAUUUUAGUGAGACAGCGUGCCACCUGGCACUUUAGCGUGUCGCAGAGCCAGCCAAAAUGGCAAUUGUCAUUUUCUAGUAAUUCUCCGCGAUAUUGGCGCAUCGUGUCAAGGCUUAAUAUUAGGAUUGUCAAAUUCCAGUGCACUAACACAAUUCUACCGCAUUGCGGUGCCCUUCCAGGUCACGACCAAGGUGACAACGCGAUUUCACCGCGUCGCGCCAUUGAGCAGUUUCCCAAUUGUCAAAAUCCAGUGAAGGUCCACAAUCAUGGAGCGUCGCACCAAGGACAAAACUCGGGCUCCAGUUUUAGAAUUUUCUCAAGGGUAUUUUGGUCAUUUCUGCCCAUUUUGGCCUAUAUAUAUAUCCAAGUAGAGAAGAGCAAUUCAUUUUCUCUCCAAUCUCUUCCAAGAAAUAUCUAGAGCUAGAGUUUUUCUCCUCCAAUUCCAAAUCCAAAUCUUCUCCAAGAAAAUUUAAGAAUCUUCUAUAUAUUUCACCGAGUUGUUCAAGAAUCAAGUUCUCUAAGUCAAAGGUAUCAAGAAACUUAGCUCAAAAGUGUGAAGAAGAGUUUCCAAUCAAGUCUUUUCGUCUUAAAAUUAUAAUCCAAGGUAUGUGGGGCUUGAACAAGAAUAUCGUUUUAUUCUUGUGCCCGAAGAAUUGAUUUUUUUUUACUAUUGGAAUUUCAUAAUCCUUGCAAGUGGGUUUACACCCAAAUUUCUUUAUUUAUGAUUUAUGAGAUUUGAGUUGAUUAAGUUUGAUAUUUAUGAUUAUUUUUCCAUCAUAUUUCUUAAAUUGAGAAUUUAUGCCAUGAAUUGUAUCUUGUUAGUAUGUAUUGAUGAUUUCUAAGUGAUUUAAGAUAAGUGUCAUGAGUUAUGCUUUUCCAUGAGAAGAUUGAGUACUGAAUAUAUAUCGAUAUUAAGCUUGAGGGUUAAGAAUGAGUCCUAUGAUGUUUUCUUGAAGAUUUUGAUACUUGAUAUGAUUUGAUAAGUAAGUCUACUUGAUGUUGAGAAAGACUGUUUGAGUUUGAGUCGAGUUAGGAAUCCACAAGUUGUAUAUGAUUUACAGAUGAGAUAUAUUUAUGAUUUGGUCCUCAUGAUAGACCCUUGAGUUGAUUAAGGUGGAUUUCCUAAUGCGUUUUGAGUUGAGUAUGGGAGGAGUAUUUAGCACCGAGUGGGAAGUGUGGGUUCAACGUAUCCUACUUCUCCAGAACUAUAUACUGCUGUAGGAUUGAUAUUUGAGGGCCAAAGAGCUGAGUUUGUGAUCACAGAGAUGAGUUUGAGGUUAUACUCCCUGGAAAGAGCAUAACUCUUCCGCCAAUGUAGGGUUCCUUCCUUAGGAGGGCAAAACAUUGGACUCCAUGUGGCUCACAUGGUUUAUGUCGGUUAUAAGAAACUCCCAAGUCCAUAAUAGUCUAAGUUUCUUGAGUUACCAAGUCAUUCUAAGUCAUGAGUUAAAGAGUUUGAGUUGAGUCCAAUGAUUUAUGAGAUUUGUGAAGCAUGUGUUAUUAUCGAUGAUUUAUGGAAAUUAUAUUUCAGGAAAUUCAAGCUAAGAGAGUCAUUACUGUCAGCAUGCAUGACUUUAUUUUACAUUUAUGAUAUUGUUUAAAAGUGUUGCAUACACCCCCACAUACUCAGUACAAUCCCAAGUACUGAUUCCCGUACUCUUCUAUCCUCUACAUUUUCUUGUGAUGUAGGUUCAGGUGCUCAGUCUCAG
rnacentral:lncRNA from 1 species